rnacentral:rRNA from 1 species
GACGAACGCUGGCGGCGUGCUUAACACAUGCAAGUCGAACGGAAAGGCUCCUGCUUGCAGGGGUACUCGAGUGGCGAACGGGUGAGUAACACGUGGGUGAUCUGCCUUGUACUCUGGGAUAAGCUUGGGAAACUGGGUCUAAUACCGGAUAAUAACUGCCUUUAGUGUGGUGGUUGGAAAGUUUUUUCGGUGCAAGAUGAGCUCGCGGCCUAUCAGCUUGUUGGUGGGGUAAUGGCCUACCAAGGCGUCGACGGGUAGCCGGCCUGAGAGGGUGUACGGCCACAUUGGGACUGAGAUACGGCCCAGACUCCUACGGGAGGCAGCAGUGGGGAAUAUUGCACAAUGGGCGGAAGCCUGAUGCAGCGACGCCGCGUGGGGGAGGACGGCCUUCGGGUUGUAAACCCCUUUCGACAGGGACGAAGCUUUUUGUGACGGUACCUGUAUAAGAAGCACCGGCUAACUACGUG